GUUAAAAUAAUUUAAUAAAAAUGUUGAAUUGUGAUUUCAAACUUAUACUAUGUAUUUUUAACA
rnacentral:tRNA from 1 species